AUGGACAAAGCAAGUCACGCCACGGCGAGAACAGGAGACUUUGCUCGCGCUCCUCUUCCUCCGAUGCCAUCGCGCCGCGUCGCCGUGAUCGGCGCGGGGGCCGCGGGCCUGGUGGCGGCGCGGGAGCUGCUGCGGGAGGGCCACUCGCCAGUCGUCUUCGAGCGCGCGGCCGGCGUCGGCGGCACCUGGCUGUACGAUGGCGAGGCGUCGGCGGAGCCGCUCGGCGCCGGCGGCGUCCACGGGAGCCUCUACGCGUCCCUCCGCACCAACCUUCCCCGCGAGUGCAUGGGCUUCCUCGACUUCCCCUUCGUCGCCGACGAGGACUCCGUUGACCCGCGCAGGUUCCCCGGGCACCAGGAGGUGCUCCGGUACCUCCAGGCGUUCGCUCGGUGGUUCGAUCUCCACGGGCUGAUCCGGCUCGAGACGGAGGUGGUCAGCGUCCGGCGCAGCGGGGACGCGAGCUGGAACGUGUCGUACUGCAGGAGGAAGCUCGCCGGCGCCGACGCUGGCGGCGAACUGCAGGAGGAGGAGGAGCAGUCGGAGGUGUUCGACGCCGUCGUCGUCUGCAACGGCCACUUCGCCGAGCCCCGCGUCGCCGAGAACGCCGGCAUAGACGGCUGGCCCGGGAAGCAGCUGCACAGCCACAGCUACCGUGUGCCCGACCAGUUCCACGGCCAAGUCGUGGCCAUAAUAGGAUACAACCCCAGCGGGAUGGACAUCUCAAGGGACAUCGCCAGCGUGGCCAAGGAGGUCCACGUCGCCAUUCGAGCGGCGCCUGCCGAGAAGAUGCAGAGCAGCACUGCCCAUGCCAACCUGUGGCUGCAUCCCAUGAUCGAUGGUGCCGAGGAGGACGGCAGCGUGGUGUUCCAGGACGGCGGCAGGGUGAAGGCGGACGCCAUCGUGCACUGCACUGGGUACAAGUAUAGCUUCCCGUUCCUGGAGGAUGACGAGGAGGCCGGUGUCGUCGCCGUCGACGACAACCGUGUCGGCCCGCUGUACAAGCACGUGUUCCCGCCGCGGCUGGCCCCUCGCAUCUCCUUCAUCGGACUGCCAUUCAAGGCGAUCCCUUUCCUGGUGUUCCAGCUCCAGAGCAGCUGGGUGGCUGGGGUUCUGUCGGGGAGGAUCGAACUCCCGCCGCCGAAGGAGAUGAUGCAGGACGUGGCGGCAUUCUACACAGACAUGGAGGCCUGUGGACGCCCCAAGAGGUUCACACAUGACCUCGGCGCAAGCCUGUUCGAGUAUGAGGAUUGGUUGGUUGAGCGGUGCGGGCUGGAGAGGAUCGAGGAGUGGAGGAAGGCGAUCUAUGUCGCGGCCAGAGGCAGGGUGAGGGACCGGCCCGAGAGUUAUCGGGACGAGUGGGACGGGGAUGCCCAACUGCUGGAACAAGCGCACCGUCAUCUCGCCAAGUACCUCUAA
rnacentral:rRNA from 1 species